rnacentral:rRNA from 1 species
CCUACGGGAGGCAGCAGUGGGGAAUCUUGCGCAAUGGGCGAAAGCCUGACGCAGCAACGCCGCGUGCGGGAAGAAGGCUUUCGGGCGUGUAAAACCGCUUUCUAGCAGGAACGAAAAUGACGGUACCUGCAGAAGAAGGAGCGGCCAACUAUGUGCCAGCAGCCGCGGUGAUACAUAGGCUUCAAGCGUUGUCCGGAUUUAUUGGGCGUAAAGAGUUCGUAGGCGGUCGAGUAAGUCGGGUGUGAAAAUUCUGGGCUCAACCCAGAGACGCCACCCGAUACUGCUUGACUUGAGUUCGAUAGGGGAGUGGGGAAUUCCUAGUGUAGGCGGUGAAAUGCGCAGAUAUUAGGAGGAACACCGGUGGCGAAGGCGCCACUCUGGAUCGAUACUGACGCUGAGGACGAAAGCAUGGGUAGCAAACAGGAUUAGAUACCCUGGUAGUCCAUGCCGUAAACGGUGGGGCACUAGGUNUGGGGUUUCUAUUAACGAAAUCCGCGCCGUCGCUAACGCAUUAAGUGCCCCGCCCUUGGGGGAGGUACGGUCGCGAGACUAAACUAACAAAGAAGUAGUAGCGNGAGAGAGCGACGACGACGACGAGGAGGAGG